AAAUUGAAGAGUUUGAUCAUGGCUCAGAUUGAACGCUGGCGGCAGGCCUAACACAUGCAAGUCGAACGGUAACAGGAAGCAGCUUGCUGUUUCGCUGACGAGUGGCGGACGGGUGAGUAAUGUCUGGGAAACUGCCUGAUGGAGGGGGAUAACUACUGGAAACGGUAGCUAAUACCGCAUAACGUCGCAAGACCAAAGAGGGGGACCUUCGGGCCUCUUGCCAUCGGAUGUGCCCAGAUGGGAUUAGCUAGUAGGUGGGGUAACGGCUCACCUAGGCGACG
rnacentral:rRNA from 1 species